UAAGGUAGCGAAAUUCCUUGUCGGGUAAGUUCCGACCCGCACGAAAGGCGUAAUGAUUUGGAUACUGUCUCGGAGAGGGGCUCGGUGAAAUAGACUUGUCUGUGAAGAUGCGGACUACCUGCACCUGGACAGAAAGACCCUAUGAAGCUUUACUGUAACUUGAAAUUGGAAUUGGACUUUACUUGCGCAGCAUAGGUGGGAGGCAUUGAGUUUAUUCUUGCGGGAAUUUAGGAGCCAUCAGUGAGAUACCACUCUGGUAAUGUUAGAUUUCUAACUUUGUAUCAUGAUCUGGUCAAAGGACAGUUUCAGGCGGGCAGUUUGACUGGGGCGGUCGCCUCCUAAAAGGUAACGGAGGCGCUCAA
rnacentral:rRNA from 17 species